rnacentral:rRNA from 1 species
UACGGGGGGAGCAAGCGUUGUUCGGAUUUACUGGGCGUAAAGGGCGCGUAGGCGGCGUGACAAGUCACUUGUGAAAUCUCCGGGCUUAACUCGGAACGGUCAAGUGAUACUGUCGCGCUAGAGUGCGGAAGGGGCAAUCAGAAUUCUUGGUGUAGCGGUGAAAUGCGUAGAUAUCAAGAGGAAUACCUGAGGUGAAGACGGGUUGCUAGGCCGACACUGACGCUGAAGCGCGAAAGCCAGGGGAGCAAACGGG